rnacentral:rRNA from 1 species
GACAGGGGGUGCAAACGUUGUUCGGAAUCACUGGGCAUAAAGCGCACGUAGGCCGCCGACUAAGUCAGAUGUGAAAGCCCCCGGCUCAACCGGGGAAUAGCACCUGAUACUGGUUGGCUCGAGGACGGUAGGGGUGAGUGGAACUCCAGGUGGAGCGGUGAAAUGCGUAGAUAUCUGGAGGAACGCCGGUGGCGAAAGCGGCUCACUGGACCGUCUCUGACGCUGAGGUGCGAAAGCUAGGGGAGCAAACGGG